rnacentral:rRNA from 1 species
UAGGGAAUCUUCGGCAAUGGACGAAAGUCUGACCGAGCAACGCCCGUUUUUUUUUUUUUUUUUUUUUUUUUUUUUUUCGGAGUGAAGAAGGUUUUCGGAUCGUAAAACUCUGUUGGUAGAGAAGAACGUUGGUGAGAGUGGAAAGCUCAUCAAGUGACGGUAACUACCCAGAAAGGGACGGCUAACUACGUGCCCG